AGCUCCAAUAGCGUAUGUUAAAGUUGUUGCGGUUAAAAAGCUCGUAGUUGGAUUUCUGCAGGAACCGAUAGGUCCGGUCUUCGACCGUGUAUCUUUUUGGUUUUUGCAUCCUAGUGUCUUGCUGUAGUGCUUAACUGCAUUACGGUGGAGACGCUACUUUUACUUUGAGGAAAUUAGAGUGUUCACGGCAGGCAUUCGCCUUGAAUAUAUUAGCAUGGAAUAAUAAUUUAGGAUCUUUUUCCUAUUUUGUUGGUUUCUAGGAGAAAGAUAAUGUUUAAUAGGGACGGUCAGGAGCAUUGGUAUUAACGUGUCAGAGGUGGAAUUCUUGGAUUACGUUACGACCAACUACUGCGAAAGCAUCUGCUAGGGACGUUUUCA
rnacentral:rRNA from 1 species